CGAGUGCCAACCAGUGCCUGGUUUGAUUUAAAUUUUAUGGUUAUGUCCACCCAGUGUUUUUUAUACGGAGGACAGUGCGUUUAGAACCAUUUAGACCAUUUCGAACCCUGGAUUGAUAUAAAAGGAAUCUGUGUCCUAUAUGGAGCGGGAAGUGUCACGAACGAGAAAGGAAUAAAAAAAUAAGAUUUGCCCUUUUUUUUAAGCAAGUUUGGAUUUAGAUGUUUCCCUAUUGUCAUUUAUUGGUUCUUCAUUUUUCAUCAGAGUACGUGAAGCAAACGCAGUGGGCAAGUCUUGUCCGAUAGGACCUUGACUUAACACUCCACCUAUUGCAUAGUUGGAUGCAUCGGUGGUGAGCACAAAGGGUUUCUCGAAGUUUGGUUACUGUAACAAGGGUUCAGUACAUAUUGUAUCACGCAGGAGUUCAAAAGCUUCCUAAGUUUCAGGGCUCCAAAUGAAUUCGGCGUCAUCCUUAAGAAGUAAGAUUUUUCUUCCCUUUUGGAACAGGAAACUUUUCCACAGAGUCCGUCUUCCUGGGAUCUGGCCUUACUCCAUCCUGAGUUAUCACAUGUCCCAAAUAAGCGAUUUCUCCUUCAAGGAAAUGGCAUUUUUCCGGUUGUAGCGGCAGCCCAGCUGAUUUCAAUCGACCAAGGAGAGAUGUUAAUUUUCGAGAAUGUUCUUCGAGUGAGGCUGCAUAGACGACUAUGUCGUCCAUGUAGACAAACAGUUCUAUGCCUUGAAGACCUGUUUCAUCUCUGUGAAUUGGGGGAUAACGAUAUUGUUUUGUAUUAAUGGGCCUAUCGUCGGUGGUAAUUAUUUUGUGGCUCAACACAUUUGUGGCACCCAACUGAUCGCCUUUUAAGAGAAAUUGAGGGGAAAAUUUACUAGCCUUUUUUUUCUUCACUGAAGUCGAUUUUUUCGAGUGAACGACCUAAGGGGGAAUAAUUUCGCAUUCUUCGAUAUUAACAAGUGGCAAUGUUAACUUUACCUUAUGAAGAGUGGAGUUGACAAUAUACAUUCUGGCGAUUCCAUUCUCAUUGCGAACUAAAGUUUCACCCGCAAAAAUGCCAGGUAUUUGGAUGGUUUUAUGAGAAAUAAUAGGAAAUCGAUCUUCGCCCAUGCAAAGUUUGUCUUCAACGAAAUUAAUGACAGUUUGAUGUUGCAAAAGGAAGGUUAUUCCAAUUAUUCCUUCUUGUGAUAUCGGGAAAGACUGAGGAAUAAUAUGAAAGGGAGUUUCGAGACCCCUAAUCAUCAGUGUGAUUUCGCCAAGAGUACGGAUCAUGUUUGAUCCGAUUCCUACUAGAUCGAAGACUGUACCUCUAUUUACACGAGCCCAGGAAUGGAUCACAUUUUCUUUAAUUAAGCUGACACUAGCCCCAGUGUCAAUCAUAAAGAGACACUUUUCUGAAAUAAAAGAUGGCUGCCUUAUUUCUACUUUUGGAGCUGGACCUGCCUCCUUCAUCCCUCUUAGUCUGAGGACAACUCUUUGACUUAAGUUGCUGGAAACUUUCGAGUACGAACUCUGGUGCGACGCAAAAUUUGUAAUAUCCUUCUCUACGGUAGACUUCGAUGCAAAUCCAACCUUCACCGUCGUCGUAGAUGCGGCACAAACGAAGAGGUUCAAACUCGUAAUCGUUGAGGAGUUCGACCAAUGUCAUCAGAAGCGGAUUAGGAUCAGACAUGAUCACAAAAGUAAAAUAAAUUUAUUUCACAAGCAAAAAUGUUAAUAUUAAAAUUUG